AUACGUAGGGGGCGAGCGUUGUCCGGAUUUAUUGGGCGUAAAGGGUGCGUAGGCGGACUUGUAAGUCAGAUGUGAAAGAUCAUGGCUUAACUGUGGUAAGCAUUUGAAACUGCAGGGCUUGAGUACAGGAGAGGAGAGUGGAAUUCCUAGUGUAGCGGUGAAAUGCGUAGAUAUUAGGAGGAAUACCAGUGGCGAAGGCGACUCUCUGGACUGAUACUGACGCUGAGGCACGAAAGCGUGGGGAGCAAACAGGAUUAGAUACCCUGGUAGUCCACGCUAUAAACGAUGAGUGCUAGGUGUCGGGGGUCAAACCUCGGUGCCGCAGUUAACACAUUAAGCACUCCGCCUGGGGAGUACGGCCGCAAGGCUGAAACUCAAAUGAAUUGGCGGGG
rnacentral:rRNA from 1 species